rnacentral:misc_RNA from 1 species
AAGUCGUAACAAGGUUUCCGUAGGUGAACCUGCGGAAGGAUCAUUACUGAUUUGCUUAAUUGCACCACAUGUGUUUUUUAUUGAACAAAUUUCUUUGGUGGCGGGAGCAAUCCUACCGCCAGAGGUUAUAACUAAACCAAACUUUUUAUUCACAGUCAAACUUGAUUUAUUAUUACAAUAGUCAAAACUUUCAACAACGGAUCUCUUGGUUCUC